rnacentral:lncRNA from 10 species
UCUAGGGGGCCGGGAGAACUUGACAAUGGAUUUAGUCCACCUGGAAUCAGGCUCAAUCUUCAGAUGCCUCAGCCCUCCCCGAGCCCUGACCACAAGCCAAAUGGCGCUGGACCACAGUAUCAGGGUUCUCCAGCGACUCCAUCCUCCAGGGAGGAAGAGGUGGUGAAUUUCCGAGCUGGGACAGAACCCAGAGUGGCUGGAGCAGGCCAGCACCUCGCCUCAUAUACUUGGAGCCUGGAGACAUCAGGCAGCAAAUGAGAAGCAUUUUAAGGUUCUCUGACUAUUUUCUUUUUUAAUUAAUUAAUUAGUUCAUUAAUUUUUUAAUUUAAAAAUUUUUCUUACCUCUGGUUCAAGUUCUCAUGACCGAUUCCUUAAGGUUGCAACACAUGAACAUGCCUUUCCUCCAAGAAAAUUUAGAGAAUUCAGAUUAGUAAAAAGAAGAAAAUAAAAGUCUUCC